AUGGUAAGUGAAGAUGAGGUAGACCCAAGUCUGCGGCUGCAAACAGCAAAACGAAGUGAAAUAAGAUUGGAGAUGUAGUGGGGGAAUGAUUUAUGGAGUGACUUACAGUAUAUACAAAUAACAAGAUCUUGAAGUUAAUUCUCAGAUAAAUGGGUAACCAAUGGAGACAAUGUACAGUUGGGGAUGUGCUGUAUGCCCACGCAAAAGACACAACCAUCAACUUCAGAAGUUUUACACCAGAAGCAGAAAAAUUCUGUUGCAGUGAAAUCUAUGGCGAGAAGCAGGGAUUCGCUGGUUUCAUAUGGACCAAUUAAAAGCCAGCAAGCCAAGCAGUGUACCCAUUCCACAUGUCAGGAUGAAUGAGUCUUAUUUCAAUAGCGCCCUCUAUGAUAGCGUCUGGAGUGCAGUUGAAACAUUGAAUAGUGAAAGUAAAGAGUGGUUUGGGAGACAAGGCCUGUAGCCAUUGUGUGAUGACAGGAUGUGUGGCCUGUAGAUCUGAAGAUUCUCUCCACAGCCAUGUAAUGCACAGUGACAGUUUGAAAAACUGAUUGAGUGCAUGGCCGAGUGAUUGCGAACGUUAUAAUGUCUUGCUACUACUCUUAGUUAGCAUCACUGAAAUUUUCAUUGUCAACCAAACUCA